GUGUUGUAUGAAAGGACAGAAGGUUAACACUGCCCUUGACAAGAAUGGAAGAGGCCCUUGGGCCUGACAACAUGCAUCCGGUUAAGGCAUUGCCACCAAUUUCGUGGCAUCUAAUCACUGUUUUUA
ensembl:snRNA